rnacentral:rRNA from 1 species
ACUGAACGCUGGCGACAUGCUUUACACAUGCAAGUCGAACGGUAACAGGUUAAGCUGACGAGUGGCGAACGGGUGAGUAAUGCAUCGGAACGUGCCCGAUCGUGGGGGAUAACGCAGCGAAAGCUGCGCUAAUACCGCAUACGAUCUAAGGAUGAAAGCGGGGGACCGUAAGGCCUCGCGCGAUCGGAGCGGCCGAUGUCAGAUUAGGUAGUUGGUGGGGUAAAGGCUCACCAAGCCAACGAUCUGUAGCUGGUCUGAGAGGACGACCAGCCACACUGGGACUGAGACACGGCCCAGACUCCUACGGGAGGCAGCAGUGGGGAAUUUUGGACAAUGGGCGAAAGCCUGAUCCAGCAAUGCCGCGUGCAGGAAGAAGGCCUUCGGGUUGUAAACUGCUUUUGUACGGAGCGAAAAGGUCUCCUCUAAUACAGGGGGCUCAUGACGGUACCGUAAGAAUAAGCACCGGCUAACUACGUGCCAGCCGCCGCCGUAA